GCACAAUGCGAAUUCCACACACAAGCCACAAAGAAGCCAUCUACCGCGGUCAACAACACUUCCUGAUUGAACAGAAUCACGCGCUGUCUGUGUGGUUUCACUGUUACAAGUUUCUUGGCGAUAUGGGGGGAAAGUUCCUCACAUACCAACGGAAAAUGGGCUUCACAUACAUGCUGCUGUCUCAUAAUAUGGCGAAGACGAGUCACCUGAAGGCCUAACUCGCCAUAGAAGACUGAAAGAAUUGUCCUGCAGGAUGCUGUGUCCUGCAAUCCUGUGUGCUGUGCUACAGACGCGUGUGGAGGUCAACCCAAAAUGGGCACAGUCUCACCACAGAAGAGUGAAAGAGGAUCCUGGCAGGGAGACGGUAGUGUCCUGCAGAAUGGUGAUGGGCCAAUCUUACAAGAGACCACAGAAAACUGAUAUAGUGAACUAUAGAAACAGAGUGCCUGCUGCAGUAUGGCGAGGACACCCUGAGCAGAGAGCUCCAAUAGACCCAGGUCCAGUGUCUUGGCAGGGUGAAAUGGCACUGAUAUGGUGUCCUGCAGGAUGCUGUGUCCUGCAAUCCUGUGUGCUGUGCUACAGACGCGUCUGGAAGCCAACCUGAAAUAAGCACAGUCUCUCCACAGAGGAGUGAAAGAGGCUCCCAGAAGUGAGACUGAGUGCCUGUUGCAGUAUGACGAGGACACAGUGACCAGAGACCUUCAGUAGACCCUUCUGGCAUGAUUGGCGGCUGAAGAACAUGACAUCAACAGCAAUGUUUAUAAUGUUGUACAUACCUGUAUAGUCUGUAUUAAAAGGCAGUACCUGUACUAUUUUUUCCUCUUACUUUCAUAUUUACCACGUAUUUACUAUGAAUUGACAACUUUUACUCAAAUCCAUUUUUGUAUGUGCCCUGACUAAAACUAUCCUUAAACCUAACCUGUCAGAGGUGUAACAACAACCUGCUCUUAGCAGUGUGGCAGCAGUCUACUUGGAUGCAGCGGGGAACAUAGAACCCUUUUUUGAAAAAGCAUUGUAUGUUUCUGAGUUUUAUGAAUUGUGCCAUUCCCAAACAUCAUGCAUAGGCUAGGCGUAUCUAUGACACGCUGAUUUGAACCCACUAUCGCGGGUGUCUAAUACGCAUUUUCAAGUUAAGUCGUGCUCCACAACGCCCUGUGACAGGUUCGGUUUAGGGAUGGUUUUGGUUUAGGCACAAUUUAGGCAGAAAUUCGCCUAAUCUCGCUGUUCUUGGCAAAAGUAAAGCAGUAGAAACAUUACUUCACUGACAGGUUAGGUUUAGGGGUGGUUUUGGUUAGGGCACAGCAAAGCAUAUUUGCGUUUAGUAACAAAUGCACUGUGACAAAACAAAAUCGCCGACACGGCGGGGAAAACUGCGCAAACCUCGUCAC